AUAUUCUCAAGGCAAACCCGCCGUAAGGCGGCGACGCAAAGCUACAGGGGCCAUAUCGGUUCGAUGGGUCAGCCAGCUGCGGUC
rnacentral:ncRNA from 1 species